CCGUCGUUGCGCUCUCCGGCCGCCCCGCAGUCUUUCAGCUCGGCUGAUUGAUGAGCCGUGAUGCCGCCUUCAUCCUGUGUGCUAUUGCUCGCGGAUUGGUCUGCAAGGUCUGAUGCUGCGCGUUGAGAUCGGCAGUCGGGCUACAACGGCAGGUUGUUGUCAACUACGUUUUGGAGGACGAUGUGUUAUCUCCUCUAGAAUACCACUUCACAAGAAUGUAGAGACCUUCUCUGGAAAAUGGAGGACGAAUUCGACCUUCUUUUCAUAUUUCCUCGGUGUUAUAGGAUUUUCAUCGCUCAUCAUUUGAUUGUUUAGAAUAAGAAGAUUCCAGCAGUGUUUUGUGAGACGUGUGGCAUCUCGAUUCUGUCGCCUACCAUGCUGCGUUGUUCGCUUGUGUGGUCUUCAUCAAUUCUAAAAGUGGUGGUCAGCUAAGAAGUUGUCUGAUAAAAUCAUAACGUGAACUUCUCAAUGAAGCACAGGUACCCAAUCAAGCAUUUGCUGAAGUUGUGAUGUUGAAGCUGUGCAUUCCCUUAACCAUAUGACCACUUUAAUCUAAUAUUUGAUGACGGCUUACUUCUUACAGGUCUUUUCGUAAGCUUUUUACAUGAUCUUUUCUCCCAAUAUUAUUGUCACAUUUAUCUGCACAAUGAACUGAUACACGUGCCCUUUUCAUCCAAAUGUAGAUGUUGGUACCAGAAACAUGCUGUUUAGCGUGUACAAAUUUUUGAUGAUUUCAAACAUGUUUCUUGGCUUCGAAUUUUCAGCACUAUUUGCUGACAAAAAAACAUUUCUACAACAAUUCGAUUAUCAAUAGGCUGAGCUGAGCUUUGGUGAACUGCACGUGUAGAGAGCGAUGAGGAGAUAUGGAGGAUCAAACUUGGACCGAAACCCACGAGGUCUAUAUAGAGGAAAUAAACAGAUAAAAGCUGCCGAGCCAAGUUGGUUUAGUCCUUCCAUUCUUACUGUGCUGAGUAGUUUCUUGGGAAAUAACCACGCCGCACUAUUUGUAGCAGAGAGUUUCAUUGUCGUUAGGCUGUUUUGAACAGGUACGUGAGAAUAUAUAGAGGCUGAUUCGGUAAUGUCUGAUGGGAUGGGUAGAAUAUAUUGUUGAGAACUAUGAUUAACCAUAACUUAACAGUAAUAUAUUUGCUGGUUUUUAGUUUGCUCGAACUGAAUGACAAUGGACAUACCUACCUUGAGAACGAUUUUUGGAGGAAGUAAAACACUGGAUCUUGGCAUAUUCAGAAGGCUAGCUUCCCUAUUUGCAUCUUGCAUCAUUAGCACUAGCAUCAGACAGCAGCACAGAAACCCUGACAGACCUAGAAAAAUCUGUUGUACUCUGUCCACCUGAAGAAAUGACAAAUGCACCAGAGGAUAGCAAAGCUUGAGGAACCAUGCCGGCCAGACGAUAGUUGCCUCAGCUGCCUCGAAUGAAGAAUGUCAGCUCCACGACAGAAAAAAGAAGAGAAAGGCCAAGGCAUCAGCUACUACAGCAACCAAGAAGCAGAUCAACAAAGAACUUUUAGCACUUCGAGCAGCAGCGAAGAUCUGUCUACAAAAACAGAUCAAUUCAGCUUGAGAACCCAAAGCAAAAAAGUAGUACUGUCAACCUACCUACCUACCAUACUAGGCAGCAAGUGCUUCCGAGGUAAUGUUUGCUAGAGUUGACCACUCUGGAUGUUAUGUACUACUAUAGUAUUAUGAACCUAAUUACUGUCUCAGCUAGAAAGAGCCUUUGGCAUGUCCCGAAACUGGCAUCUGCUGCUUAUUAAAGAUACCCAAUCCUCUGCUUGUGAGUCA